UACGUAGGGUGCAAGCGUUAAUCGGAAUUACUGGGCGUAAAGCGUGCGCAGGCGGUUGUGCAAGACAGUUGUGAAAUCCCCGGGCUCAACCUGGGAACUGCAUCUGUGACUGCAUUGCUGGAGUACGGCAGAGGGGGAUGGAAUUCCGCGUGUAGCAGUGAAAUGCGUAGAUAUGCGGAGGAACACCGAUGGCGAAGGCAAUCCCCUGGGCCUGUACUGACGCUCAUGCACGAAAGCGUGGGGAGCAAACAGG
rnacentral:rRNA from 1 species